UGGGGAAUCUUGGACAAUGGGGGAAACCCUGAUCCAGCCAUCCCGCGUGUGCGAUGAAGGCCUUCGGGUUGUAAAGCACUUUUGGCAGGAAAGAAACGUCAUGGGUUAAUACCCCGUGAAACUGACGGUACCUGCAGAAUAAGCACCGGCUAACUACGUGCCAGCAGCCGCGGUAAUACGUAGGGUGCAAGCGUUAAUCGGAAUUACUGGGCGUAAAGCGUGCGCAGGCGGUUCGGAAAGAAAGAUGUGAAAUCCCAGAGCUCAACUUUGGAACUGCAUUUUUAACUACCGGGCUAGAGUGUGUCAGAGGGAGGUGGAAUUCCGCGUGUAGCAGUGAAAUGCGUAGAUAUGCGGAGGAACACCGAUGGCGAAGGCAGCCUCCUGGGAUAACACUGACGCUCAUGCACGAAAGCGUGGGGAGCAAACAGG
rnacentral:rRNA from 1 species